rnacentral:pre_miRNA from 1 species
UGUAACAGCAACUCCAUGUGGAAGUGUCUGCUGGUUCCAGUGGGGCUGCUGUUAUCUG